UACGGAGGGUGCGAGCGUUGUCCGGAAUCACUGGGCGUAAAGGGCGCGUAGGCGGCGCGGAAAGUCAACGGUGAAAGCUUGGGGCUCAACCCCGAGUCGGCCGUCGAUACUUCCGUGCUCGAGCACUGUAGAGGCAGGUGGAAUUCCGGGUGUAGCGGUGGAAUGCGUAGAGAUCCGGAAGAACACCGGUGGCGAAGGCAGCUCUCUGGGACGGUACUGGACGCUGAGGAGCGAAAGCGUGGGAGCGAACGAG
rnacentral:rRNA from 1 species